rnacentral:rRNA from 1 species
CCUACGGGAGGCAGCAGUGGGGAAUAUUGCACAAUGGGCGCAAGCCUGAUGCAGCCAUGCCGCGUGCAUGAAGAAGGCCUUCGGGUUGUAAAGUACUUUCAGCGGGGAGGAAGGCGAUAAGGUUAAUAUCCUUGUCGAUUGACGUUACCCGCAGAAGAAGCACCGGCUAACUCCGUGCCAGCAGCCGCGGUAAUACGGAGGGUGCAAACGUUAAUCGGAAUUACUGGGCGUAAAGCGCACGCAGGCGGUCUGUCAAGUCGGAUGUAAAAUCCCCGGGCUCAACCUGGGAACUGCAUUCGAAACUGGCAGGCUAGAGUCUUGUAGAGGGGGGUAGAAUCCCAGGUGUAGCGGUGAAAUGCGUAGAGAUCUGGAGGAAUACCGGUGGCGAAGGCGGCCCCCUGGACAAAGACUGACGCUCAGGUGCGAAAGCGUGGGGAGCAAACAGGAUUAGAUACCCUGGUAGUC